AAUUUUACGUAAAAGUCCUGCACUGAAAAUGUCACCUAAAAGUCUGUAUUAUUUUUAGGAAAAUGUACUUUACAUCCUUACUUACUUACUCAUUGCUGCACAACUUUGUCCGAGUGGCAGUUGGUUGCUAAUACUAAAUGCUAAAAUAUUGAAUAUGAGUAUCACAAUCAGUGAAG